GAGAAGAUAGUGGUGUUGUACUUCUGCCAAACAACGGCAAGAAAGUAGUAACCAUUACGGUCACAUACAGAUCUCAAGACGAGUCUGAAAUCUUGUUGAGUCCGAUUACUGCACUGGUAUGCGAGGAAUUGACAAGCACAAGCAUCACAACGACCACUGUUUCGACUACACAUCCAUCGGUUUCCUCGACAUCAACUCCACCAUCAACAUCAAUUACAACGCCAGAAUAUUGCGAGAUGGGCGAAGAAGAGAGAGUUGUUUCACCACGUAUCGAAAGCAUUACCUCUAACGGCUUACCUCUUGAGAAUUUCGAUGCGUUCAACACGGACGAAAGACCCAU